GUUUUCCCGGAAGAUCAGUCUAGAGGAGCGGAGAGGAGCUCUCGAUGGAGCAUCCAUGUGUUUCCAGCAUAAUGCAAGAGCCCUUCUAGCUUGAAGAACACCAAUUAACAUGUUUGUGAUGUGGGCGGCCGUCAGAAUCUGCUCCUCACCCUGUUUCUGCGAGCGCAAGAGGGAAAGAAAAUGUUGAUCCGGUGCCAUCGAGUCCUACCUCGAGGAGUGUGUGAAUUCAACAGGCAGAUCUGAACACAAACAGCUCAUGAGAGCGACCGCACUGACCCACAAACUGCAGAAAUCCUCAGCAGAUUAUUAUUACACCGCUCUGAGAUCCUGCCGUUCCUGGGCGACGCAGUAGGUAGUUCUGUCACCUCACAGCAAGAAGGUCGCUGGUUCGAGCCUCGGCUGGGUCAGUUGGCAUUUCUGUGUGGAGUUUGCAUGUUCUCCCCGUGUUGGCGUGGGUUUCCUCCGGGUGCUCCGGUUUCCCCCACAAGUCCAAAGACAUGUGGUACAGGUGAAUUGGGUAG